GACGAACGCUGGCGGCGUGCCUAAUACAUGCAAGUCGAACGAAACUUUCUUACGCCGAAUGCUUGCAUUCACCGUAAGCAGUUGAGUGGCGGACGGGUGAGUAACACGUGGGUAACCUGCCUAAAAGAAGGGGAUAACACUUGGAAACAGGUGCUAAUACCGUAUAUCUCUAAGGAUCGCAUGAUCCUUAGAUGAAAGAUGGUUCUGCUAUCGCUUUUAGAUGGACCCGCGGCGUAUUAACUAGUUGGUGGGGUAACGGCCUACCAAGGUGAUGAUACGUAGCCGAACUGAGAGGUUGAUCGGCCACAUUGGGACUGAGACACGGCCCAAACUCCUACGGGAGGCAGCAGUAGGGAAUCUUCCACAAUGGACGCAAGUCUGAUGGAGCAACGCCGCGUGAGUGAAGAAGGUCUUCGGAUCGUAAAACUCUGUUGUUAGAGAAGAACACGAGUGAGAGUAACUGUUCAUUCGAUGACGGUAUCUAACCAGCAAGUCACGGCUAACUACGUG
rnacentral:rRNA from 1 species